UGGGCAACCUGCCCCUCUCUCUGGGAUAACCCCGGGAAACCGGAGCUAAUACCGGAUACUCCGGCUGGAUCGCAUGGUCCGGCCGGGAAAGAUCCGCCGGAGAGGGAUGGGCCCGCGGCCUAUCAGCUUGUUGGUGGGGUCAUGGCUCACCAAGGCGACGACGGGUAGCUGGUCUGAGAGGACGACCAGCCACACUGGAACUGAGAUACGGUCCAGACUCCUACGGGAGGCA
rnacentral:rRNA from 1 species